rnacentral:rRNA from 1 species
GGCGGACGGGUGAGUAAUGCCUAGGAAUCUGCCUGGUAGUGGGGGACAACGUUUCGAAAGGAACGCUAAUACCGCAUACGUCCUACGGGAGAAAGCAGGGGACCUUCGGGCCUUGCGCUAUCAGAUGAGCCUAGGUCGGAUUAGCUAGUUGGUGAGGUAAUGGCUCACCAAGGCGACGAUCCGUAACUGGUCUGAGAGGAUGAUCAGUCACACUGGAACUG